UACGGAGGGUGCGAGCGUUGUCCGGAAUCACUGGGCGUAAAGGGCGCGUAGGCGGCGCGGAUAGUCGGCGGUGAAAGUCGGGGGCUCAACCCCCGAUCGGCCGUGCGAACUGGGAGGCUUGAGCACUGUAGAGGCAGGCGGAAUUCCGGGUGUAGCGGUGGAAUGCGUAGAGAUCCGGAAGAACACCGGUGGCGAAGGCGGCCUGCUGGGCAGUUUUGCUGACACUGAGGCGCGACAGCGUGGGGAGCAAACAGG
rnacentral:rRNA from 1 species